rnacentral:rRNA from 1 species
AACGAACGCUGGCGGCAGGCUUAACACAUGCAAGUUGAACGGGAACAUACGAUAGCUUGCUAUAGUAUGUGAGAGUGGCGCACGGGUGAGUAAUACAUGGGAACAUACCUUGAAGUGGGGGAUAACUUCUGGAAACGGAUGCUAAUACCGCAUAUACCCUGAGGGGGAAAGAUUUAUCGCUUUAAGAUUGGCCCAUGGCAGAUUAGGUAGUUGGUGGGGUAAAGGCCUACCAAGCCGACGAUCUGUAGCUGGUCUGAGAGGACGAUCAGCCACAUUGGGACUGAGACACGGCCCAGACUCCUACGGGAGGCAGCAGUGGGGAAUAUUGGGCAAUGGGCGCAAGCCUGACCCAGCAACGCCGCGUGAAGGAAGAAGGCUUUCGGGUUGUAAACUUCUUUUGUCAGGGACGAAUUCUGACGGUACCUGACGAAUAAGCCACGGCUAACUACGUGCCAGCAGCCGCGGUAAUACGUAGGUGGCAAGCGUUAUCCGGAUUUACUGGGUGUAAAGGGCGUGUAGGCGGGACUGCAAGUCAGAUGUGAAAACCAUGGGCUCAACCUGUGGCCUGCAUUUGAAACUGUAGUUCUUGAGUGUCGGAGAGGUAAUCGGAAUUCCUAGUGUAGCGGUGAAAUGCGUAGAUAUUAGGAGGAACACCAGUGGCGAAGGCGGAUUACUGGACGAUAACUGACGCUGAGGCGCGAAAGCGUGGGGAGCAAACAGG